rnacentral:lncRNA from 1 species
AGGACUUCCUGCUCCUUGUUCUUGGGCCUUCAGGUUUGAACUGGACUUAUACCACUGACUCCCUGCUUAGACUAGAACUAUAUCACCAUCUUUCCUGAGCCCCCAGCUUUCAGACAGCAGAUCAUUGGCCUUCCUAGCUUCCACGAUCAAAUUGGAAAAGCAUUGGAAAAUUUGUCCAAAGUCACUCAACAGAUUCAUGAUGGAUCCUGGAUUCACAGCCAGCUUUACUUGGCAAUAAAAUUCAAGUCCUGUUCACAUCACAACACAUUUUUACCGAAAGAAAAAUAUGAUGUGUAGAUGUUUGGAGGCAUCCUAUCUUAAUGAGGCUUUUGUUAGAAAGAGUUUUCUUAAAAUUACAGGGUUGGGGAAAUAAAAAAUGUUUGUUGCUCAGAUUAACAAAAAAAUGGUAUAUAGAAAAUAAAGCUAAGAAAGGAAAGUGCAGACAACCAAGAGACUAGAAUUUUCAAUAAAUGGCAAAAUUGUGGUGUUCUGUGGUUACCUCUUGAAGAUUUGGCCUGAAUCAUGCAACAAUUGCCCCUUACCCUCAGUCCUCAAAUUACAAUAGUGAAAGAGGUUUCUAUAGGUAUUAUAUUUGAAUCUGCUAUAUUUUGUUUAUUACUUGCAAGGACAUAUAGGAGAGCAAAAGUUUUCCCUCUAAUUUCUUAGGUUUAGUAACUGGAACUUGUGAAUUAAACUGGCAAAAUACAGAUUAACAGGAGAAGAGUCAUAGACAUUUUAUUUUAAAUUUCAUAUGCAAUGUAGUUCCAGAGAAAAGAAGUGAAAGCCUGAAGAAGCAAUUAGACUUGAGGAGUUAUAUCUUUAACAAAGGGUGGUGAGUGUAGAGAAGUGACUAGAUUUUUUUUAAGAUGGUUUUAGGCUUCCAAGGGUGAUAAACCAUGGGAAGGAAAAUACAUGAGGGAAACUAAUGGUAUAUAGGAGUUAUUUAGUAAGGUUUGUUUACACAGACUAAUCUCAGUGGUAAGAACGGUUUUUCUCCUUUUUCUGGUCAGGGGAAGGAGAAGGGACACCAUCACAAUGGGAAUUUGUGCUUUGCUGGUAGACAAAUAGGAGCAGAGCAGAGAACUUCUUUCUCUCAAUUGUCUUCAGCUCAGAAUAAUCCUUAUGCCAAACAGGCAUAAUUUGGAAUUACAUAUUUUCAUCCUCUCCACACACAAGCUUCCGUAUAAAGUUCAAAGACAGUAGUAUUUUCUUAUAAUUCACUCUGCCCCAAAUAUUAACUAAGAUGACAUUCUUUUUCCAGCUUGAUUCUGCAACAUUCACUUCCAGAAACUUUAUCACUCUUAAUCCUGGAUUGAAGGAAAAUAUUUGAAUGUGAUAAAGGAUAUAUAUUUUAAAAAGAAAGGAACUAUAAUAAAAGGCAAGAUUCAGAAAUUAUGUUGUAAUCUGUGACUUAGUGCAAUUUAGUCCUUGAAUUUCUUGUGUGCAAUUUAUUGAAGCUAUCUUAUUAUAUGUUAAUUCUGUGUCUUCUUUGCCCUCUCUUUUUGUAAAAAUUUUCUUUUUCUGAAUUUUUUUCCAGAGUCAAUCAUUGAUCUUCUUGAUAACAUUCAUUUCCCUUGGUGAACUAACUUUGGUUCAUCGCUUUAUCAUUCUUCUCCAGGCUGUUUUUGAAGGGUCUGUGAGCUGAGAAUGGUUUUUAAUAGAUAAAUGCUCACAAUCAAUUUGGGGAUAAGAAAUAUUAUUUUGAAUCUCAGUUACAAAAAAUGUUAUCCUUCAUAAAAUAAUUCAUUUUUUUCUCAGUAAUAAAAAUGUAUUUCAAAAAUAU